rnacentral:tRNA from 1 species
UCCCAGUGGCUCAGUGGUAAAGAAUCUGCUUGCCAAUGCAGGAGAUCCAGGUUCAAUUCCUGGGUUGGGAA